UGUGUGAGUAGAUUCACUCUGAUGUCCUCUGCCUGGGCUGGCUGAGCUGUGCAUGUUGAAACAUGCCUCAACUUGUACUGGCUCGCCUGGCGGAGGAAGGAGAGAGAGCCUUGAGCCCUGCCCUCUACGUUUUCACCCUGCUUGAAGUGACCCUCGGGCAGACAAACAAGAACCAGCAGAGCAGCUCAACACUGGCAGAUGACUGUCCUGGACACUCAAGAGUGGACGGAUACACUGAACAGAACCAGAACAGGACCCUGGAUCUUCAGCUGUAGCCAGUCUAUAAUCUGUCCUCAAUCCAAACACUACUUUACUGCCUAGCUCUUGGGGAUUCCUCUUCACAGUGAAACCUCCUCUUCAUCAGCCGAGACAGCAGGCUUCCUCCACUUACCUACCAGCUGCCACAGAGGAACCACAACGUUUACCAAGGUGGGAAGCAGGCAGACUUGGAAUGAAAAUCACAGGAGGACUACAUCACUAUUCCCCCUUCGAGGCGGAAACCUAUUGAACUGACCAUUCUCUGACAACGUCACCAUGUCGGACCUGACAGUGACCACUGUGUGUGUGUGUGUGUGUGUGUGUGGAGGGGGGUUAGAUUCCCUGUUGGAAACAUAGCAGGGGGAAACUGUACCAACCAGUGAUGAUGAAGAGGCCAGUAACGCAGGAUCUGCUGGAUGGAUGUGGCUGCUGGGAGUGUUUCUCUGGCAGUGUCUUAGCUGGUUGUUGUGAGGGAGAGAACGAAGCAAUCAGCAAGUAUACUGCCGCAGAAACUCUUCGCACUACAAGCCCAGGCCCCUGGAAUCAGCAAGUAGGCCAUUGGCCCCCUGGAAUCAGCAAGAAGGCCAUUGGCCCCCUGGAAUCAGCAAGAAGGCCAUUGGCCCCCUGGAAUCAGCAAGAAGGCCAUUGGCCCCCUGGAAUCAGCAAGAAGGCCAUUGGCCCCCUGGAAUCAGCAAGUAGGCCAUUGGCCCCCUGGAAUCAGCAAGUAGGCCAUUGGCCCCCUGGCUCUCAGAUGUCAUUCCCCCAGAGAGACAGAAGGAAUGAGGAAGAGAAGAGCACUAUUUAUUUUUAGUAUGAUUAUUACCACUGGACUCGUGUGGGAUGAUAGACUGAUGAUGCUUUUGGUAUAUGGUGACAUUGUGUGUAUAACCUGAGUGCGUGUGCUAUUCUGUUUGAAACCAAUGCAAUCCUGUAGCGCCAUCUUGUGGCUCAAAUGUUAAAUUGAACCAAAUUGGACAUACCGAUAAUGUGUUAAUGUGUAAGUUAUUAUAGUUAUUGCCGGUUUGUAUCUCUUAAAAUAUAUAUUUGCAAUGCUUUUUGAAAAUUAUUAUUAUUAUUAUUGAAAAUAAACAGAAAAUAAACAGAAAUAUUUCAAUAUAGUCAA